ACUUUCUUAACAAUGCUAAACACUUUCCUUUAAUAGAAACACGGAAACUUUAUUUUAAUACAUUCCGAAAAGGUGCCAGCUGCAAUCACCUAUGGAAGUAUGGAACCAUGAUCAUAAUGCCACGCCUCUGGUAAUCAUGGUCUUGUUGAAAACCUGGACAGUUAAAACAUGAAUACGUCAAGAAUCAAGAUAAAACACUCAAAAGAAACAAUCAAGUUUCCAGGUUUACCAAAAUAGUAAUAUAUAGACAAUACGAAAAUAGUUUUGUUGCAUCGUAUCUGUAAC
rnacentral:lncRNA from 1 species